rnacentral:rRNA from 1 species
UAGUAGUCAUACGCUCGUCUCAAAGAUUAAGCCAUGCAUGUGUAAGUAUAAAUAGUUAACUUUGAAACUGCGAAUGGCUCAUUAUAUCAGUUAUAGUUUAUUUGAUGAAGAAUACUAAUUGGAUAACCGUAGUAAUUCUAGAGCUAAUACAUGUAUAAAGUCUUGUAGACUGCAUUUAUUAGAAUGAAAACCAUAGGUUUCGGCCUAUUCGUGAGUAAUAAUAACUAAUCAUAUCGUAUGCUUA